UACGGAGGAUGCAAGCGUUAUCCGGAUUUAUUGGGUUUAAAGGGUGCGCAGGUUGUUUGAUAAGUCAGUGGUGAAAGUCUGUCGCUUAACGGUAGGAUUGCCAUUGAUACUGUUGGACUUGAAUAUGGAUGAGGUGGGCGGAAUGUGUAGUGUAGCGGUGAAAUGCAUAGAUAUCACACAGAACACCGAUUGCGAAGGCAGCUUACUAAUCCAUCAUUGACGCUGAGGCACGAAAGCGUGGGGAUCAAACA
rnacentral:rRNA from 1 species